rnacentral:lncRNA from 1 species
AGGAGAGCGCGCCUGCGCGAGCUAGAGUGGCCAAAGGUAGUGGAGGGCUCAGAGGCCAACCUUCCAUUUCUCCUGGUUAGCACUAGUACAGACCCACUCUCAGCCUCCAGCCUCUUCUCAUUCCCCACCACAGUGCUCAGGAAUUGAAACCCCCAAAGCAAGAGGAACCACGUGACCAAGAAACGUGUUUCCUAAGGAAAAAACAGACCUCCAUGCUGCCUAAGUCAAAGAAGCCCUCACAGAAUCACAGGUCACGUUCUGCUCAUAGGAACUCUUGCUAUCUCCACUUGCGCGUCUCCAUUAGCAGUGAUGCUUCUAUACUUUUGGAGAUGGAUUGCACAAGGAACUUUUCCUGGCCUCGUCCUGAAGUCAGCCAUUUCUCCAAGGAGUCCACUUUCCAUGCUGUUGAGAUUGGUACUAAGUAAGACUGGAUUUCUCAAUAUCUACUUCAUUACUAUAAUCCUAUUACUUGGAAUAUGGAUUUUAAUCAGUGUUAAGAUAGAGAUGUUCUUGUAAAAACUAAAAUACUUAACAUAGUAAUUUAUUCAAAGUUGUGGAAAUACUUCUAUGCCUGCUGAAUUUGUAGGAAUAAGAAGCUGAAAGAAUGAGAGUUGGCAAGAAAGAAGUAAGAGGUUCCUUGGAUGAAGAAAUAAAGCUAAUAGCAAAUUUUUUGACAAGUAUCAUCACCACAGAAUUAAAAUUGUAAAACAGCCUUAUUUUUCACAUGGAAAAAUCCCCAUAUGCCUCUGUUUCUCUGUUAUCACAGUCAUUAUUGUUUAUUUAUUUAUUCUUGAGUGUGACUAGAAUAUUGUGAUGUGUGUGUGGAUCGAAGACAAAGUGCAACUCAAGAGAAUCAGUUCUCUUCUACCAUGUGGGUCCCAGAGACUAAACUGAGGAUCCCAAGCUCCAUUACCCACUGAGGUAGCUCAUCAGCCCCCUACAUAAUUUUAAGCCACCCACAGAGACAAUGAUAAGGUCAAAUCACUGAGUUUUGAGGUCAGAAAACUGUGGUAAUGCUGCUCCACUUCAAACUUUUGUUAUAACCUUUAUAUAGAACGGCCUUCACAGGCAUGACCCUUUGAUUGAAAGUAAGGUUCAAAUGUUCUCCAUACUGCUCUGGAAUUUAUAGGAGGCAGUUUUCUAUUUCAUUUAUAUUUAGUGUUGUUUUAUUAAAGCAGAAAAAUAUCUCAAAAUGAA